CAACUACUACCUCCGAUCCAUAUUACUUGUCGCAAUUUUUUCUAGAUACGCAGUAUCCAGACACGUUUCAUUGUGUAGAUACAUGCGUAUCUAAAUAAAGCUGCGGCAAGUAAUAUGGAUCAGAGGGAGUAGCAU
rfam:Brachypodium distachyon strain Bd21 chromosome 2, whole genome shotgun sequence.